UAAUUUAAARGAAAGUAGUUAAACUCUACUAUUAAGGA
rnacentral:tRNA from 1 species